AGUCAGCUGGGAUAGGCUCCUCCAGUGCCCCCGUGACCCCUAACGGGAUAAGCGGUCAAGAUAAUGGAAGGAUGGAUGGAAAUCCUAGGUAAAGAGUGGGCUUGUAUGUCAAGCUGCUGAUAACAGGUUUCCACCGUCGCCUUAGUGAAGAAAUGAAAUAGCUUGAACUCACGGCUUUCAGAGCCCGCCGCCUUCACAACAACGCUGAUAGAACAGAGACGUGAGGAUGUGUGCUGCUGUGGACACAAACCGAGGAGUCCCCAGACUUCUAGAUGCAUUAAAUGGAUUCAUUGAAGCCCGGAACAGCUGGGAGUGUGUUUCCAGUCUGACAAGACAUCAACAAAGACAAACCCUGAUUAUCAAACAGAGCUAACACUCGGUACCCUCGUUCUUCUUCUGCUGUCAAAAAUACAGAUAUGUGCAAGGACACUGUACAAAACCCAUUCCUGUCUGUAAAAGGAGACUCUCAGGUUGGCGUAUGUAAACAUACAGAGUGACAUCCAUCCACACACUCUCUGUGCAAAGUUUUUUUUUUUCUUUAUACGCGCAAACAGAUGUGGGUUCCCGGGGAUUUACGGUAAACAGGUUGCAUUGAAGUGCUACGAGAUCAUUCGUUGGCACACAAGGAGUAAACAUUUACAAUAUUUACAUCUGAGGUUAAUAAACAUGCAUCUCUAAAAACAAACA